rnacentral:lncRNA from 1 species
UUAGACAGAAUUCUAACACGAAGUCCUAUAGCCACAUUUGUGUCAAGUCAAACAGUAUCAACAAUUAAAGCAAAAAGAUGCCAUGAAUUUGAAACAAGAAGCAGUCACUGGCAGGGUGGAAUACUUCUAUACAUGCAGACAGGAGGCUACACAGCAUCUGACUGAAACAGAUGCAGAGAUUCAUGAAGAUUGGACAACACAGACAAAUAAAGAACAGCAUGACAUUUACAAGAAAAUAGAUUCAACUAGAAAAAAGCUCCUAAGUGAGAAAACAAGACUCAGAAAAGCAAAUAUGGUUGUGUACUAUUGGACAAAAAUAUAACAAUCCUGUUAUACACAGCGACACCAGUUUGUACAGAUCUUCUGUGUUGGUUGAACUAGUGUAACUACAAAAAUUUGGUUUCUAGAAAUAAAUUUAGUUUCACAUGGGGAAGAUGGAAAUCAAUGGGAGACUUCUAAGAAGACCUCACCUUCCUCUUUUUGGAGUAUCAAUAAACGACUGGGACAAGAAAAAGGCAAGAGAACAUGUGAGGAGAAAAGGAGAGUGCGCAGGAAAAUACAGUGUGUUCAGCCUCAAACUGUGAGCCAAGGAGAGACAGAGAAAGAUUACAGAUUGAGAAACAAGAGAGAAAAUCUUUAAGCCUUAAAAAAUUGUAGAGAUUCACA